rnacentral:lncRNA from 1 species
GUGGCUAGUGAGACAAAGUAGUAACGACCUGGCCCCUCCAUUCCUUCUUGUAGGGACCGUUACGUUUCAUUCCUUGAGUACGACAAAAUUGAUAGCGCUCUGACCUGUCUCAAGGUAAGACUGCAGCAACUUUUAUUGACAGGGUAAACACGAAAGUAGGAGUGGGUUGAGUCCAGACAACCAUAGUAAGAUGACGGCGUCGAAAAGGAGACAACCGAUGUCAGAGGCCUAAAUC